UCUCGCUGUUUAGCCUAUUGUCGAAAUGUGUUGGAAUUUGAUGAAAUACCUACCAGAAACUGCAGCUAUCCAGGAAAACUUCAACGCUGUUAUUGCCAGUUAUAUAAGUACUAUUUACCAGCAUUACCAGGAGGAGUAUAGAGUGAGAAAAUUAGAAAACUGUAGCCAGAAACCUGAAAAUUCUAUCACUCCAGCUAGUCUAACAUUUGCUCAGGAGUUAGUCAGCGGAGAAUUGUCACAGAAGUUAUUUCUG